UGCUCUUCUUGGUUUGCUCUACAUUGAUGAUUCUCUGUACUUAAUCAAGGGUUAAAGCAGAUGGUUGUGAUAUAUUGUUUCCUAAUGAGAAGAAAUGAAAUCAAGUGUAUUUUUUUUUGAGCACAAAGCAGUGAUCAAGAUUUGUUUUACUUACAAUAAUGUUUACAGGAAUUAUUUCCCACAUCUUAAAGGAUGCAAACUUUCUAAUUCCUUUUUUUUUUUCUCUUGACAGAAGCCCAAGACAAUGCAUCUUUCCAGUAACUCCUGUAAAAAAUGCACACGAGACUUUGAACAAAAACAUGGCCUGAAGAAAGUUAAUGAAGUUGUUAAUAGUCUGUGUCACAAAUGAGAAGACUGUGGAUGAUUCUGGUUUUUUCCUUCAGGCCUUGAUGAGUCAUGAAAAUGAUAGAAAGCUAAUUUUUCCAAUGGAGCAGGUUCUGUAAGGAAAAGAAGAGGAAAAAUAAAGAAAAAGUUAAAUACAAACAUCUGAUGACAAGAGCUACAAUGGUGACCAAUGUGUUGUAAGCUGGAAUUUUCUUGAAUUUUAAUGGAUGUUUUGACCUAAUUUACAGAGUCUUUCUUGUUAAUUAACUUUUUUAGAAAGGUCAAACCCUUUUUUUCUGCUAAAGGUCAUGUACUUCAACUAAGAAAUCUUUUCUCAUCUACAGAAUUAUACAGCAACAUAAAAUUCAGGGUUGUGCAGUUAUCCAGCAGCAGGCUCAUCCACUGGAGCCUGGAGAUAGAUGUAAUUUCACACAGAAGGAAAAAGACAUUCCAAAAUCUCAUGUGGACCUGCUGAUUGUGAGAGAAGUGUGAGAAGAAUGCUGCUUGUAAAACAAGGGUGCCACAUUUAGAUAAAAGCAUUGAUUUCAGUGUCAGAGAUGCUGUGAAUGUUUCAGUUCAAUAAUGCAGUUUUUUUACUUCUGAAUUACUUCUGAAAGUGGCUGCACCUCUUGGUCAGUCAGGUAAAGUGUUACCCAAAGGCUCACAGGCCUUACAUACAGCACACCUCAAAUGGGAAUGGCACUGCAGGAAUAUUGACAUUUUCAAAUCAUUCUUCCUGUUUGAAUAACAACUGAAUUAACUGCCCCUCAAAAAUAAAAAAAAAUUAAAAAAAAGCAAAAAAAACCCCAAAAUAAAAAAGGAAACAGAAAAUGCUUUUUCAUUAAUUUGGUGAACCUGCUCAGAAAUAUGGAAGGGACACAGAAAACAUUUAAACUGGAUAUUAUAUGAAAACUAGAGUGGUCACAGGAAUUACAACACUGUGUUGUGGGGGAAAGCAUCUGUCACUAUCCUAAUUGGGGAAUUUCCCUGACAGGAAAUAGGAUCAAUUCCACUCCACAAUUUCUUCAUGCAAACUACAUAAAAUAUUUUAUAAAACUUGAGUGAUUUCCAUAACAGAAUUUUGGCAGUUUAAAGCAAAACGUGUUGCUAUGACAGUUCCUACAAAUCUUUUAGCUUUGUUUUGUAUUAUAAAUAUGUCAAAAUGAAGCCAUUUCUGUCCAAACAAAAAAAUUCCAGGCUUUUUAAAAAUAAUAUCUUAUUUGCCAAAGUCAAGAUGAAGGCUAAUUUCAAAUGCUGUAACUUAGAUCUGCAUAACCAUAAACCCACAAGGACAUAGCUUUAAUCUUAUAAAUAAGUCAUGUCAUUAGAUACAGUAUUCUUAGUUUAAUUGACUGCAUUUGCUACUCUGUAUAACAAUGAUUGAAAAAUAAAAGACUUUUAACAUUGGUGAAA